rnacentral:misc_RNA from 1 species
GUCAAAGAUUGGAAAGUUGCUACCACACUAUUCGUAGUAGAUUCGAAAGUGUACUGCAUGCUUGGCACCCAAGUGAUAUGUCUGCAUACUACAUACUGUCUCCUUGGAAGACUGUUUUUGAUGCAACGAACUGGGAAAAACUAAUGGUCCGGUUUAUAGUUCCAAAGUUGUUAGCAGUGAUGCAUGAAUUCCAAAUAAAUCCAGCAAAUCAGAACCUUGAUCAGUUCUAUUGGGUCCGUACUUGGGCUACUGCUAUUCCCAUCCAUCACAUGCUUCCAAUACUG